CGGCGACGAAGAGUUAGGACCAGGACGCGUUGGGAGCGUGUGCAGGAAGAAGAGAGGAAAGGCUCCAGUUUCUUAAUUUGUCGUUUGUUCUCGAUCUGCCACGCAGCAUGUUUUACACCAUAAAUAUAGCAGCGAGCUUGCUCGAUGUGCAACGUUGCAUGCGAGCUGAUUCUCGAGAAGGCAACUGCUAGGGGAAUCGUCCAAAAGGAACACGAAGAGAUCACUGCUACUAAGAUUACAACACUAGGAUGGUAAAGUCGAAGGAGGAACGCAGAGCGAAGCGCCAGAUAUUCAAAGCGAAGCUAAAGAAUUUUACCAGACAUGCCUGCAAGGUGACUGCGUGUACCAUGACUGGCGCUAAGAUCGGCGCCCUGAUUCUUGAUCCUGUAGUUUGCACACUUCUUGGGUUUUCGUACGGUGUGAUUUCAGUACUCAAGGACGACGUCACCGGGGACGUCGGCCCAACAGUUUUGGACGUGGUGCUCCCCAGCGGUCAGAAUUAGACGAUACAUCACGUAGCGACCUUUGCAUUCGUGGAUUCCUUCGUUCUUGCAAUUCUAGUUAUGUGCACGGGUGUGCGUAUUUGUGUGAGGGGAAUUUCUGGCCCGAUUAGAGAAAUUACCCCUAUUUAUGUUCUAUUAUAUCAAGGAGUGAAUACUAUCGAUGUAUAAUGCAAACAUUGGGCUGUUUCAUUUUAGAUAAACCUUGUUAUUUUCCCUUUUUUAAACACGGUACACAGAUAUAGACGUUUACAUGUAGUAUGUAUAGUCACCUCUAUUAAUACAUACAAGCAAACUUAUCUCUACGAGCA